GAGCCUGUUGAUGGUGUGUUGCAAGAAUUAGUGAUCCUCCAUAACGAUAUUCCUUCACUAAUACUAGAUGUUUUAAACAUAGCUGAUGCAUCAUCAGCUCAAGUUGAUAAUUCAUCAGAGGAAUCAAAAGAAAGAAAUAUAUUUUGUUAUAUUAUCAAGGAAUGUGAGAAAGUAAGAGAAAAAAUGUAAUGACUACUACAGAUUUAAACUAAUUAUACCAUCCAUUUCUCUCAGUUUAUUUCAGAUAAGUUAUUGAAAGAAAUAUUAGAAAUUGAUACCCUGCAAGAAGUUGGCAUCUAAAAAAAAUAGAGCAUUUUACUCAAAAUUUAUCAAAGUUAAAACAAAGUUAUACUACAAACAAAAAAAAUUCAAUCUCUUUCGUGAGGAAUGUGAGGGUUUUUCAAAGCUUAUCACAGAGUUGAAUCAAGAAUUUGGCGAAAGUACAAACAAUGAGAGAAUUUUAGGAAUAGUUCAAUCGCUCAUUGGUUGCUUCAAUUUGGAUCCUAACAGGGUAUUAGAUAUUUUGUUAGAAAGCUUUGAGAACAAACCAAAUGAUGCGAACUUAUUUAUUCCUCUUAUCAAAUCUUAUAUGAGUGACCCGAAAAUCAUAAGCGAAGUUUUGGGCUCUAAAUAUAGCUUUCUGAGGAGUAGUGAGAAUGGCGCUCCAAAAUCUCUUCAUGUUCUCACAGCUCA